GCGGGAGAGGGAUAGAGUGGGUCUGCCGACGAAUCAGCUUCCAGGAUUUCCAUUUUCUCUCGACAAAUCAUGUGGCGGCUUUCCAUUUUCAAUGCCGACGUCAUCCAUUUUCACCGCGGAUACAGCCAAUCGGAGCUCUGGAUUCCAUUUUCAGGCAACGAAUCGUGUGGCUGAUCUCCGUCACGUCAUCCAUUUUUGAAUAGCCAAUCACAGCCGUCCCAGCGGACGCGAUGCGGAGGAGGGAUUUUUAAACUAUUCACCGCCGUCGUCGCAGAAACGCCUAUUCAGUUAAAGACAGACUUCUCCAGGCUGUCAGUCAUCCUGUAUCCUCUGCCCCAGAAGCUCAGCCUGCAGUUCAGUCUGAAUCCUCACCUGGUGUCUCAGGUGGCAGAAAUACAGUUGGGGACGGGCAUGGUAUGCCAGGUAUGGAUCGGGUUGACAGCCUUGCAGAGCACCUGGUAGAACUGUGGACAUAGACCUCCAUGACUCUCAGCAACCAGCAGGGAAGCACAAUUGUGGCCCUGUAGCAAAACCUGCUGGACGUUGACAGAGGGCCCAGCAAUCUACAGUGGGCUGGUCACUGCCGGAGGCCCCGCUGGAGUCUGAGCUGAAGGAGUUUCUGGUGAAUCUGUGUGCUGUAAAUCAUUCUGUCUGAUGUUGCAGGGAAUCAGACCCAAUGACAAACAUUAAGAAUAGUAUUAUCUUCUUCAAAUUAUUUGUUCUUGUUGUUUCACGUGUUCCAGGCCCAAAGACAAUAAAGUUAAAGCUUUAAUAUCA